UGAAAACAAUGCUUCUUUCUCCUCCCGCACGCAACAACCCCCUCGCCUCUCCCCGUCCAUUUCUUCGUCCGCCCAGUGAGCCGCCGUGCGCCGUACUAGGCAUAACAGUUCUCCAUCUGUUCUCAAGGUUUGUACAUAACACAUUGAUCUAUUGAUCUCAGUUUUUGAAAUGUCAAACAAAGUUGUGUUUUCCAUAAAACAUGAAGAUCACAUGGAGAAACAUUCGACUGGGAAAGAUCAGUUUCUGAAACAUCCAAGAAAGAAAGACUCAGGAUUUGCAGAGGAAAAGAGAGCAAUCCAAGCAGCCAAAACAUUGAAUCCUAAAAAUCCUUCGUUCCUGCGUUUCUUGCGGCCCCAUAAUAUACGAAAAAGUUUUAUGGUGAAGUCCUCUUGAUUGCCGGUGUUAUAUUGGUGGGUCUGUUUGCUCUCCAACAUUGUGGCACCCACAAAGUAAAAUUUAUUUUUGCACCGGUUGUGAUCAUCUGGUUGGUAUCGAUUUUUUCCAUUGGGCUGUACAACACUCUACAUUGGAAUCCAAAGAUUGUGCGUGCAAUUUCCCCACAUUAUAUUAUCAAGUUUUUUAGUGAGAAUGGUGAAGAUGGCUGGAUUUCUCUUGGAGGGAUUCUUCUUUCAAUAACCUCUAUGUUGCAUCUGGAAAUUGUUAGAAUAUUAUCUGGCUUGCAUGAUAUUUUUACUUGGUUGUGACAUAAGUUGGUGCAACUCAUCUUUGUAGUUCUGGUUGGGUUGAAGUUUUGUUUAUUAGAGACAAAAUGUUCUUGCUACCUUAGCAUAUGAUCAGAACUGGGGAUGUCACUAUUUUUAAUGCACAACUACUAAGCUUUUUUGGGUCUCACCAGGUACUGAAGCUAUGUUUGCAGAUCUUGGUCAUUUCACUGCCUUGUCAAUAAGGCUUGCAUUUGCAUUUGUUAUAUACCCUUGUUUAAUAGUGCAAAUACAUGGGUCAAGCUGCUUUCCUUUCAAAAAAUCUGAAAUCCAUUCCAGAAAGUUUUUAUGACUCAAUUCCUGAACCUGUAUUCUGGCCUAUCUUUGCUAUUGCCACCCUUGCAGCAAUUGUUGGGAGUCAGGCUGUUAUUACUCCUACUUUCUCCAUCAUCAAGCAAUGUCAUGCCCCUGGUUGCUUUCCCCGAGUCAAAGUUGUGCACACCUCAAAACACAUAUAUGGGCAGAUCUACAUCCCAGAAAUAAACUGGAUACUCGUGGUCCUUACUCUUGCCAUAACAAUUGGAUUUCGAGACACAACUAUAAUCGGAAAUGCUUAUGGUAAGUAAUGCUUUGAAAGAGCUUCUCACGGUGUCUCUCUCUUUGGAUUGAUAUAUAUGGGUCUUGAACAUGCAACCACACACUCUGCCUUGUUUCUACCAGUUUGAAUUACAGCUCAUUGGCCUCUAUGUUUGUUCUAAUAUCCAAAGAUAAUUAGCUUCUAGUUGUAAUCAUAUACCUUGUGUUGAUUUAGUUAUUUUGAGAACGUCCAUUCUCUCUCACUAUCUCUCUACAAAAGAUACCACCAUUAUUGCUCAA